rnacentral:rRNA from 1 species
UGCGUAGGCGGGCGUCUAAGUCUGAGGUGAAAUCUUGCCGCUUAACGGUAAAAUGGCCUUGGAUACUGGGCGUCUUGAGUGUAGAAGAGGUAGGUGGAAUUCGUAGUGUAGCGGUGAAAUGCAUAGAUAUUACGAAGAACAUCAGUGGCGAAGGCGGCCUACUGGUCUACAACUGACGCUGAGGCACGAAAGCGUGGGGAGCGAACA